rnacentral:snRNA from 1 species
GUGCUCGCUUUGGCAGCACAUAUACUAAAAUUGGAACAAUACAGAGAAGAUUGGCAUGAUCCCUGCGCAAGGAUGACACGCAAAUCUGUGAAGUGUUUCAUAUUUAA